rnacentral:rRNA from 1 species
UACGUAUGGUGCAAGCGUUAUCCGGAUUUACUGGGCGUAAAGGGAGCGCAGGCGGUGCGCCAAGUCUGAUGUGAAGCCCCGGGGCUCAACCCCGGGCAUGCAUUGGAAACUGGCGGGCUGGAGUGCCGGGGAGGUAAGCGGAAUUCCUAGUGUAGCGGUGAAAUGCGUAGAUAUUAGGAGGAACACCAGUGGCGAAGGCGGCUUACUGGACGGCAACUGACGCUGAGGCUCGAAAGCGUGGGGAGCAAACAGG